rnacentral:rRNA from 2 species
CAAGGCGACGAUCCCUAGCUGGUCUGAGAGGAUGACCAGCCACACUGGAACUGAGACACGGUCCAGACUCCUACGGGAGGCAGCAGUGGGGAAUAUUGCACAAUGGGCGCAAGCCUGAUGCAGCCAUGCCGCGUGUAUGAAGAAGGCCUUCGGGUUGUAAAGUACUUUCAGCGGGGAGGAAGGUGUUGUGGUUAAUAACCGCAGCAAUUGACGUUACCCGCAGAAGAAGCACCGGCUAACUCCGUGCCAGCAGCCGCGGUAAUACGGAGGGUGCAAGCGUUAAUCGGAAUUACUGGGCGUAAAGCGCACGCAGGCGGUCUGUCAAGUCGGAUGUGAAAUCCCCGGGCU